rnacentral:rRNA from 1 species
GUGGGGAAUUUUGGACAAUGGGCGCAAGCCUGAUCCAGCCAUUCCGCGUGCAGGAUGAAGGCCUUCGGGUUGUAAACUGCUUUUGUACGGAACGAAAAGCCUCUGGUUAAUACCCGGGGGUCAUGACGGUACCGUAAGAAUAAGCACCGGCUAACUACGUGCCAGCAGCCGCGGUAAUACGUAGGGUGCGAGCGUUAAUCGGAAUUACUGGGCGUAAAGCGUGCGCAGGCGGUGAUGUAAGACAGUUGUGAAAUCCCCGGGCUCAACCUGGGAACUGCAUCUGUGACUGCAUUGCUGGAGUGCGGCAGAGGGGGAUGGAAUUCCGCGUGUAGCAGUGAAAUGCGUAGAUAUGCGGAGGAACACCGAUGGCGAAGGCAAUCCCCUGGGCCUGCACUGACGCUCAUGCACGAAAGAGUGGGGAGCAAACAGGAUUAGAAACCCUGGUAGUCC